rfam:Clostridium sp. CAG:127 genomic scaffold, scf150
GCUACUGUGGCUCAGUUGGUAGAGCGAUUCACUCGUAAUGAAUAGGUCGUCGGUUCGAAUCCGAUCAGUAGCU